GACGAACGCUGGCGGCGGGCUUAACACAUGCAAGUCGAACGGAAAGGCCCUGCUUUUGUGGGGUGCUCGAGUGGCGAACGGUUGAGUAACACGUGAUUAACCUGCCCUUGAUUUUGGGAUAACUUCAGGAAACUGGGGCUAAUACCGGAUAGGAGCUCCGGCUGCAUGGUGGGGGUUGGAAAGUUUCGGCGGUUGGGGAUGGACUCGCGGCUUAUCAGCUUGUUGGUGGGGUAGUGGCUUACCAAGGCUUUGACGGGUAGCCGGCCUGAGAGGGUGACCGGCCACAUUGGGACUGAGAUACGGCCCAGACUCCUACGGGAGGCAGCAGUGGGGAAUAUUGCACAAUGGGCGGAAGCCUGAUGCAGCAACGCCGCGUGCGGGAUGACGGCCUUCGGGUUGUAAACCGCUUUCGCCUGUGACGAAGCGUGAGUGACGGUAAUGGGUAAAGAAGCACCGGCUAACUACGUG
rnacentral:rRNA from 1 species